GGUUAAGUGACUAAGCGUACACGGUGGAUGCCUUGGCAGUCAGAGGCGAUGAAAGACGUAGUAACUUGCGAUAAGCCCAGAUUAGGUAGUAACAACCAUUUGAGUCUGGGAUUUCUGAAUGGGGAAACCCACGUGCAUAAGCACGUAUCCUUACCUGAAUACAUAGGGUAAGGA
rnacentral:rRNA from 1 species